AAGAAAUAAAACCACAGUAAAAAGACAUUUGAAAAAAGAGUAGCAAGGCUGUAGUAUGUACAUGUAGGUAUUGUUAAAGUGACUAUGCAUAUAUGAUGAACAGUUUUAAUGCUCAAACUAUUGAAGAAUAGAUGUUGUUUUGAUCAAUGUGCCACAAAUGCUGUGGAUGUUUCUUUUAAGAGGAUUACAUUGAGCCAGAACCACCAGGUAAAACAACCAUGUUGCAUUGAUUAUUCCCAGCUUCUGUGAUCUGUUUUGUCUUGUCAGCUAGCUAAAUAAUCAAUAGGCCCUAUAGCUAAAAUGUUUAACCUCAGUAUUGUCUACAGAUCAGCAGUAUCUGUGUGCUUCUCCAGCUGAAGAGUUUUUGUCAGCGUCCCAGCCAGGGCUCAGUUAGAUGCUUUGCUUUGUGUCUCAGACUCCACGCCAGGAAAGUCCCAAAAAUAUUUUGGGUGUCCGAUUGUUCUGGCUAUUCUCACAGAAACUUAAUUGGCAGGAUGAAUGUUUGAUAUGGUUUUUACAUUUGUAUCACAAACCAUUUGUGAGAAAAUCCUCUAAGACCCUAUGAUCUGUGAACUGUACAUGAUAGUGUGCUCUAAAAUAUGGAUCAUGUCUAGAUUGUGAUUUAUUCAACAUAACAUAUUAGUGAAUAUCUCGUACUAUUUCGAUUUUGUACAUUUUUAGACAUUGUUUUAAACUAUAUACUGUACAAGUACAUAAACGUUUGAACAUUCUGCUACUUUUGAAGUUGUGAUAAAUUGUGAGCACCACCAGUGAAUGGGGAAAUGGAUUCAAAUGGAACUCCCUCUGCUGGUGAUUUGCUGAAUGUGAUUGCUUAAUGACUUAGAUCAAUGUUUAUGUUUAAAAGUAGCAGAGCACAAUUUGACGCAUUUGAAGAGUGUUUGACUUAUUGUUCCAACAAUUUGUCCCAAAAAUAUGCUAAAUCAAAAAGGGUACUUUUGAAAUAUUAAUAUAAAUACUUUUAUGUUGAAUACAUUUAAUGUGAAAAAUUGUAUUGCAGUAAAUUAAUGUGUAAAAAAUAUUUUUGGGCUUUCCUGGCAUGUACUUGCCCUAUAAGACACUGUUACAGUACUCUGUUAAUUGCAUUAUAAUAAUACAUAUUUGUUUAGAUGUUAA